GAGUUUGAUCCUGGCUCAGAACGAACGCUGGCGGCGUGCUUAACACAUGCAAGUCAGGGAGAAAGUCUCUUCGGGGAUGAUUAAACCGGCGCACGGGUGAGUAACACGUGAGUGACCUGCCUUUUAGACUGGAACAACUUACCGAAAGGUGAGCUAAUGCCGGAUGAGUUAUAUAAGUGCAUGUUUAUAUAGGAAAAGUUGGGGAGACCUGACGCUGAAAGAUGGACUCGCGUCCCAUUAGCUAGUCGGUAGGGUAAUGGCCUACCAAGGCGACGAUGGGUAGCCGGCCUGAGAGGGUGGCCGGCCACACUGGGACUGAGACACGGCCCAGACUCCUACGGGAGGCAGCAGUGGGGAAUUUUGCGCAAUGCUCGUAAGAGUGACGCAGCGACGCCGCGUGAAUGACGAAGGCCUUCGGGUCGUAAAGUUCUUUCGACAGGGAAGAAAAUGCCUAUAAGUAACUGUGUAUGUAUUGACGGUACCUGUAUAAGCAGCCCCGGCUAACUCCGUGCCAGCAGCCGCGGUAAUACGGAGGGGGCGAGCGUUGUUCGGAGUGACUGGGCGUAAAGAGCACGUAGGCGGUGUUGUAAGUCAUUAGUCAAAGACUAGAGCUCAACUUUAGUAAGGCUAGUGAUACUAUAAUACUAGAGUAUCAG
rnacentral:rRNA from 1 species